rnacentral:rRNA from 1 species
AUUGAACGCUGGCGGCAGGCCUAACACAUGCUAGUCGAACGAGUGGCGGACGGGUGAGUAAUGUCUGUGAAACUGCCUGAUGGAGGGGGAUAACUACUGGAAACGGUAGCUAAUACCGCAUACCAUCAGAUGUGCCCAGAUGGGAUUAGCUAGUAGGUGGGGUCACGGCUCCCCUAGGCGACGAUCCCUAGCUGGUCUGAAAGGAUGACCAGCCACACUGGGACUGAGACACGGUCCAGCCUCCUCCGGGGGGCAGCAGUGGGGAAUAUUGCACAAUGGGCGAAAGCCUGAUGCAGCCAUGCCGCGUGUAUGAAGAAGGCCUUCGGGUUGUAAAGUACUUUCGGCGGGGAGGCGUUACCCGCAGAAGAAGCACCGGCUAACUCCGUGCCAGCAGCCGCGGUAAUAC